AGCGCAGGCGGACCGGUGUGUCGGAUGUGAAACCUCAGGGCUCAACCUUGGGACUGCGUCCGAAACUGCCGGUCUAGGGACUCGGAGGGGCUGGUGGAAUUCCUGGUGGAGCAGUGAAAUGCGUAGAUAUCAGGAGGAACACCGACGGCGAAGGCAGCCAGCUGGACGAGAUCCGACGCUCAGGCUCGAAAGUAUGGGGAGACAAAAAGGAUUAGACUACCCUUGUAGUCCAUACUAGUAAACGUUGUUGAUUAGGUCUUGGAGCAUUCGAACGCUCCGAGGGCUCAAGCUAACGCAAUAAAUCAACCGCCUGAGGACUACGGCCGCAAGGACUAAA
rnacentral:rRNA from 1 species